rnacentral:rRNA from 1 species
UACAGAGGGUGCGAGCGUUGUUCGGAAUCACUGGGCGUAAAGGGCGCGUAGGCGGCUUUAUAAGUCGGGGGUGAAAGCCUGUGGCUCAACCACAGAAUUGCCUUCGAUACUGUAGAGCUUGAGACCGGAAGAGGUAAGUGGAACUGCGAGUGUAGAGGUGAAAUUCGUAGAUAUUCGCAAGAACACCAGUGGCGAAGGCGGCUUACUGGUCCGGUUCUGACGCUGAGGCGCGAAAGCGUGGGGAGCAAACAGG